rnacentral:misc_RNA from 1 species
CGCGCUCCCAAUUUCAAUCGUCUUCUUCUCUGCACCUGGCCGCCGCUCACUGCCGGUGGAGAUAUUUGUUUCCGGCCGCCGUCGUCAUCCAAACGCCGCUCAAGCCGCCGCUGUUCCUCGCCGUUAUCCGCUCAGCCGGCCGGAUACAAAUCCAGUAGCGCCCAGCCCCAGCCGUUCUUCCUCCUCUGCCGCGCCCUCUGGUUCGGAUUCCGAUGGCCAGCAGUUGAGGCUCCCAAGCCGCGUCCCUGGCGUCUUCCUCCCUGGCUCCUACUCUUCCAAGCGUGGAGCCCUCUGCUCGCCACGGUCCUUCCGUAGCUCCCAACCGAUUUCCCUGCGUGCUCCUCCCGUGCAGCUCGCCGUGCUCCAGCUCGGAUUCCCCCUCCAUGGCGCGCCCGAGCACUCCGGCUCCCUGCUCGAGCUCGCCCAGCUCCCUGCUGCGGUGACUAGCGCUCAGCGUCCGGCUCCCUGGAUGCUUGCCCUGCUCGCCGCCAUCCUGCUGGAUCCCCUCCACGGCGCCCGUUCUUCCCGGGUGUCUUCCUCCACCGCGCUCUCCUCUGCAAGCAACUGGGUUCUGCUCUGCCCUGGGCGUCGUUCUCAGUCACUGGUGGACCGCGCGCUCCUUUGUUUGCUGGUCGUGGCUCCCUCAUGCUCGCCGUCGAUUCGAUAUGCCGCCACGUCCUCGCCUCGUCUCGGUAGCGCGCCUGCCAGUGUCGUUCCUCGCUAUGUCGAGCUCCCUCCCCGUCCUGUCCAGUUCGCCGUGUGGGUGGAACCUACGUGCACGCUGUCAUCGACACCAUGGUCGUCUCCCUGUGCGUUGCGUCCCUCAUCUCCAGCCGACGCACUAAGGAAUGGGUGUGGAGUAUAG